rnacentral:misc_RNA from 1 species
CCGAGUUUACAACUCCCAAACCCUAUGUGAACCUUACCUUUUGUUGCUUCGGCGGGAUCGCCCUGGCGCUUCACGGCGCCGGAUCUCAGGCGCCCGCCGGAGGCCCAAAACUCUUGUUUAUUUAUGUUUCCUCUCCGAGUGGCACAAGCAAAAUAAAUCA